UACGAAGGUGGCAAGCGUUACUCGGAAUUACUAGGCGUAAAGCGCAGGUAGGCGGUUCGAUAAGUCUUUUGUGAAAGCUCCCGGCUUAACUGGGAGAGGUCAAGAGAAACUGUCGAGCUAGAGUGUGGUAGAGGAUACUGGAAUUCCCGGUGUAGCGGUGAAGUGCGUAGAUAUCGGGAGGAAUACCUAUGGCGAAAGCAGGUAUCUGGGCCAUCACUGACGCUGAGCUGCGAAAGCUAGGGGGAGCAAACAGG
rnacentral:rRNA from 1 species